rnacentral:rRNA from 1 species
GACGAACGCUGGCGGCGUGCUUAACACAUGCAAGUCGAACGGAAAGGCCCUGCUUUUGCGGCGUGCUUGAGUGGCGAACGGGUGAGUAACACGUGAGUAACCUGUCCCUGACUUUGGGAUAACUUCAGGAAACUGGGGCUAAUACCGGAUAGGAGCUCCUGCUCCAUGGUGGGCGCUGGAAAGCUUCGGCGGUAGGGUAAGGACUCGCAGCUUACCAGAUUGUUGGUGGGGUAGUGGCCUAGCAAGGCUUUGAGGGGUAGCCGGCCUGAGAGGGUGGCCGGCCGCAUUGGAACUGAGAUACGGCCCAGACGACUAAGUGAGGCGAAGGUGGAGAAGAUUGCACAGUAGGCGGAAGCCUGAUGCGACAACGCCGCGUGGGGGAAGACGGCCUUCGGGUUGUAAACCGCUUUCGCCUGUGACGAGGCGUGAGUGACGGUAAUGGGUAAAGAAGCGCCGGCUAAAUACGUG